rnacentral:rRNA from 1 species
AAUGAACGUUGGCGGCGUGGAUUAGGCAUGCAAGUCGUACGGUGGUUUCCUUUCGGGGAGGCCAUAGUGGCGAAAGGGAGAGUAACGCGUGGUUACAUGCCCUCGAGACCGGGAUAGCGGCGGGAAACUGCCGGUAAUACCGGAUAAUAUCUUUGGAUCAAAGGUGUGAUUCCGCUCGAGGAUUGGACCGCGUUCUAUUAGCUUGUUGGCGGGGUAAUGGCCCACCAAGGCGACGAUGGAUACCGGGUGUGAGAGCAUGGCCCGGCUCACUGGGACUGAGACACUGCCCAGACACCUACGGGUGGCUGCAGUCGAGAAUCUUCGGCAAUGGGGGAAACCCUGACCGAGCGACGCCGCGUGCGGGACGAAGGCCUUCGGGUUGUAAACCGCUGUCAGUUGGGAGGAAAUGCUGGGGGGUUCUCCCCUCAGUUUGACCGAUCUUCAGAGGAAGGACGGGCUAAGUUCGUGCCAGCCGCCGCAGUAACAC